AUAACAGCCAAAUAGUAUUUAUGCCAGCCAUAUCAUUUUAUUUUGUUGUAUUUAUUGGCCACACCUUAAAGGUUGACCCAUGAAAAUACUGUCUGACAUUAAACUGGUCCAUGGUGCAAAAAAGGUUGGGGACCACUGGUUUUUGUGACAAA